ACAUGUUAAGAAAUUAGAAUUCUCUACUUUUCGUCGAACAAAAAUAUUGGUUUAUUUUGGUCUUCGGUUUAUUCAUACACUGGUGAGAGUGCUCCAGUCGACAUAGCCUAGAGGCAAACAACAAUCAGAAAUAAGAAAGUUUUACCGUCGCAUUCUGAACAAGCUAUUCCGUCUGCCAAGAAGAAUUAAUCUUUGAAAAACUUCAGCAUCGAAGAAGCUGAGAGCAAGAUUCUGAGAGCAAAGAAGAGAGCCAAGGAUGCUUUCAGUGGAUGUCAGAUUUUACCUUGCUCACACUUGGUUCAUCGGAAAUGUGCAAUAGCUAUGAUACAGUUGAAAUUCGUACCUGCCCAGUGGGCAGACACCCACUAUUUAGCCCGGCUCCUGAGUGAAAGUUUUUGCAUCAGACGAUGCUGACAGUCAGCUGGACAAGGCUCCGUGUCAAUCAGAGGAAAGCAUGGAGAAAGGCUUUGAAAUUGUAAUGUCAGAGUAUUCUUUUGUCUCUCAUAAUUUCUGACCAAAUUUGUACAUUGUUUGACUAAUGCCAUGACUUUCCUAUAUUUUACAUCGCAAAAAAAAAAAAAUGGCUUUUGGUUAGGUUUUGGUAGGAUACAUGUCCUUUGAAUACUAAAUGUCUCUGACAAGGACAUAAUUUUGUCCUGCUGUGAAGAAAGUUGAGAACAUGUUCUUACAAAUAAUAAAAAAAAAAGGCCUCAUGCUUAUUAA